GAGCUUCUCUGGCACCUACAAGUCGAAAGCUUGUGUAAGAUGUCAAGGUUUUCUUUUCUCUUUCCUUCUCCAUGUCACUUUUACACCUCAAUGAUCCACGUCAAGCUCUGAUAACUAUUCCCUUGAGAAAGACUAUAAUAGAUACCUAUACUAUUCUCACACUUUCAGGAUUGAUCAACUAAGAUAACUUCAAAAUGCAAUGCAUUUAAAGUAAAGGAGAAAAAGGACAUAAUAACUCUACAAGUGAACUCAUAUUACUUAUUGAAGGAAAAAAAAUACCGAUUCAGGCAGGGAAGGAAAAGGAUUCAUGUAUCAAAGACCAUCCAGUUUGAAAUCAAACUUGAGUCGUUUGGAAAAGAUGCACCAUAGACUAUUUCCACAGGACUGGUGAUGCAAGAAAAACAGGUCAAACACUGACA
rnacentral:misc_RNA from 1 species